GGCGGUGUGUCCACAACCCGGGAUUCCCUCACCCUCAGACUCCGGAAUCCAAUUUCUUAGCUUUCAAUGUUUUUAAGUGUGGGACUUUUGAAAUGGCCCGUUCAAAUCCACGAGAAAAAGGUGGGGAAGGAAGGCAGCUCCUGGAGGGAGUGGAAUCUGAGUUUGGAGGUCAUCUGCCUAUAAGUAGGGCUUUUCAUUGAGAACCACACCCUGCCAGAUGAAGUACAGAAGUGAGUUUGUGGGAAGCACCUGGGUGGAAACACUCCUCUGGAUUUCAUCUGAGACCAAUGAACGUGUUCCCAGAAGAUUCCGGAAGCCAGAGGAAGAGGCAAGGAGGCAUCUCACAGCCACUGAACACCAGCCAAUGUGUAAUUUGGGCUAAGG